AUCUCAGAUAUGCCUUCGAUAAAGAAUCUGUUUAUCUUGACUUAAUCUAGCUUGUCCCUAAACAAUGGGAUGAUGCUCUGAUCACCGUACCUUGAGAACACAUUUUGGAUCAGUUUUUUUUUUUUUUUUUUGGUACCGGGGAUUGAACUCAGAACCUUGCGCUUUCGAGGCAGGCUGCAGAACCACUGAGCUAAAAUCCCCGGCAAGAGAACACAUUUUGGAAACACUACUUCACAUGUUCAUGAUGACCUGGGGAGAGUAUCUGGGAGCUAUAAGCCCCUGGGAUGCAGAGUCAGCAGGACAGCUACAUGGAGAUUCUGGCUGUGUCAGACUGCAGGAAACAAGUCUGUUAAGAGCCCCAGAAAGUGGAAAUGGAGAAUCACAAGAUUCACAAGAUAAGAAUCACCUUUGCACAGGACAAGGUGAAAUCACAGUGACUCCUCAGACCCAAAGCAGGCUGACAAGGAGGUAAAGCGGCUUUGCUUUUUUGUGGGACCCAAGUAUGCUCAGUGAGGUGAGCUGAUUAUUUUCUGCUGAUUAGAGUGGAAAAAGAAAUGGCAUUUAUUUGUGGAAACAAACUUGCAGAAGCAGAGGUGAGCGGGAUUCUUCAGUGAGUGGGUCAUUGAUGCUGGCCUCAAGGUUUUCAGCCCGUCCUCAGUGACUCCCAGCUACAGGCAGGACCCAGCAGCAGAAGAACCCUGGGAACAGACUGUGUCCCCAGACCCUGACUGCCUCCAGGGAUGUUCUUUCUAAUGCACCCAGAACACAAAUCAUAUGGCUUCACCGUGACAGUUAUAAAUUUCAUCCACCAUGGAGAGUUGGAGGCAGGCGAUUUGUUGGGUCCAAGUCAAAGGUUACAAAAGAAUUCUUCAGAUUUGGGUGAUUUCCACACCUAUUAGCAGGAAAUAGCCUCAGUCACAACAAUACACAGGAGCAGCUGGGCAAUGUGCUCCAGCCCUGGCCAGGCACUGCCAGUGACGCACACAGGGAGCUCAGGGGACACCCGGGCCAGGAGCGCCUUUGCCCUCAGGACCUCACCAGCUGCCACUGUCUCCAGGGUGCAGAAUUCCACGUUGCUAUCCUCUCCCUGUGAGUGGGACUGGCACCCUGGCUACCGCUCCAGCCAGAGGCCGGUGCACAGCCUGCUUUCCCAGCACCGGUCCCAGUGCAGAGGACGUGAACUGCUCCCAGUGCCCAGAAGGACUCCUGGCUGCCAUAGCACCACUCCCAGAGCAGAGGAGGUGAGCAACAUGGGCACCAGCAGCAACCCCCACCCCCACAUAAGGAAGCCACAAAACCAGACUUCCAGAUCACCUACAGCAACCCCAAAGGGAAAUGACAUGAAACAAUCUGAUACUCAACAACCUGGACUCUCUGAACUGGCAACAAAAGAGGAUCUGGAAAAAAUGAAAUCAGAAAUAAUUUCUCAGAUAACAGCAGAGAUUGUGCCCAUAGUGCAAGACAUGAUUAAUUAAUCUAGAGAGGACAUAGAUUAAAAAAAAUAGAGGAGCUGAGGAACAUGAAGGAAUCCCAACAUAGGAAACAAAUAGAAUCCAUAAAAC
rnacentral:lncRNA from 1 species